rnacentral:rRNA from 1 species
UACGUAGGGUGCAAGCGUUAAUCGGAAUUACUGGGCGUAAAGCGUGCGCAGGCGGUGAUGUAAGACAGUUGUGAAAUCCCCGGGCUCAACCUGGGAACUGCAUCUGUGACUGCAUCGCUGGAGUACGGUAGAGGGGGAUGGAAUUCCGCGUGUAGCAGUGAAAUGCGUAGAUAUGCGGAGGAACACCGAUGGCGAAGGCAAUCCCCUGGACCUGUACUGACGCUCAUGCACGAAAGCGUGGGGAGCAAACAGGAU